rnacentral:tRNA from 1 species
GAGAGCAUCUGCCUUACAAGCAGAGGGUCAGCGGUUCGAACCCGUUAACUCCCA